AAACAGGGAGAGAGAAGGAAUGAAGAAAAAGUGAUGGAAGGAAGGAUUAACAGCAAAACUAAAGUAGAUACGAAGGCAGGAGGGAUCCAGGAAAGUCAAGAAGGAAAAAAAGGGACGUCUGAAAAAGGAGUGGAGGAAUGCAGAAACGUCGAUUGAAGGAUGCAUGAAUAACAAGUGAAUCUGACGAAAGGAAGGAAGUUGACGUAUAUAGUGCACGUGAUUGACUUAAGACUCCCCCGUGAAGAUGCGCUUACCGUGUCGUUGUCAGCAUCUCCCAGGCAGAUGGCGUGAGGAAAGAGCGUGCCCGAGAAGUCCAAACUAACACGCUGCACGUAAUUCAGAGACCUCAUAGCGACGAAAUUUGGCCAAGUGGCGACUUGGACCUCAGUUUGGGUGCUAUUUGAGCUUCCAAAGCGCGUCAACCUUCUCGGGGCUGCUGUUAAACUAAGCGACAGCAAAUCAGAAGCUAAACUUGAAUGAAACCUGAAAAUAAAAAACAAACAAACGGCAUCCUUGUUCAACACUUGUCCCCUAAGGUACAAUCAUUAAAUUUUUUUUUUUUUUGUUUAAUU